AGUGAACGCUGGCGGUAGGCCUAACACAUGCAAGUCGAACGGCAGCACAGUAAGAGCUUGCUCUUACGGGUGGCGAGUGGCGGACGGGUGAGGAAUACAUCGGAAUCUACUUUUUCGUGGGGGAUAACGUAGGGAAACUUACGCUAAUACCGCAUACGACCUACGGGUGAAAGCAUGGGAUCUUCGGACCUUGCGCGAUUGAAUGAGCCGAUGUCGGUUUAGCUAGUUGGCGGGGUAAAGGCCCACCAAGGCGACGAUCCGUAGCUGGUCUGAGAGGAUGAUCAGCCACACUGGAACUGAGACACGGUCCAGACUCCUACGGGAGGCAGCAGUGGGGAAUAUUGGACAAUGGGCGCAAGCCUGAUCCAGCCAUACCGAGUGGGUGAAGAAGGCCUUCGGGUUGUAAAGCCCUUUUGUUGGGAAAGAACAGCAGCAGGUUAAUACCACGCUGUUCUGACGGUACCCAAAGAAUAAGCACCGGCUAACUUCGUG
rnacentral:rRNA from 1 species